UACAGAGGGUGCGAGCGUUAAUCGGAAUUACUGGGCGUAAAGCGCACGUAGGUGGCGACGUAAGUCGGGUGUGAAAGCCCCGGGCUCAACCUGGGAAUUGCAUUCGAGACUGCAUUGCUGGAGUACGGAAGAGGAAGGCGGAAUUCCCGGUGUAGCGGUGAAAUGCGUAGAUAUCAGGAGGAACACCGGUGGCGAAGGCGGGUCUCUGGACAGUUCCUGACACUGAGGCACGAAGGCCAGGGGAGCAAACGGG
rnacentral:rRNA from 1 species